rnacentral:lncRNA from 10 species
CCCUGGACCCAGGGACUGGUGCAGAAAGUCAGGUCUCACCAAUCGGAGCGAGGCAUUCCCUAGGUCAAAGCCAUGGGCCAAUCUUGGGCUCAUGACCUCAUUUAGACCCGCAGGUCCUGGGGGAGGGCUUUGGGGGAGGUUCUUUCCUCUUAAGAAAGGCCUGUGGGAGCUGAUGCUAUGGCACUGGGGUGCCGGCCAGGAGCUGCAGAGCUACGCAUGAAUAAAAAGAGGCUGUGCUCAGGCGGCGGCGUGGCUGUGAACUGGCCAUGGAGGAGGGGAGGAGCACUAUCAGGGCAAGAUCCCCAAGGCCUGGUGGUCUCCAUGGGCCCCAUUAAACACCUGAGGAUUAAAGAUUCCAAGAAGCCUGGAUCCUCCCCACUCCAUAUUGCUGCCUGACAGGGGUUGAGGUGACGAGGGGAGCAUUGGUUUCCCUGGGGGAAUAAUUAAAGCUCUUUGGUGCUGAGCCAGAUCUGACAAGACUAAUGGUCCGUGUGAGCCAAGGCUCCAUGAGUUGUAUUAGCCAGAGAGUGGAGGAAGCCACAGCCGCUGCCACAGCCAGCCGCCACAGCCAGCCACCAUCAGGGCACCGAGGAUGUGCGCGCCCUGGAGGACUUCAGGCUCAGAGCCAUUCAGGGCCGGUGAGAAAGCUGAGGAUGGCAGGUACCUUCUCUCUAUGAGUCAUUGGUUGCCUCUGCCAACCAGAGACAAUGAUGGACAUUUACAUACUUCCAACGUCAGCAUGAAGGGUGAGUGUGGAACGCCACCUCUCUGCUGACCCAUCUGCAGGGCAGUGAGAUGGGCAGAGGCUGCCACUGGUCACUCACAAGUUCAUUCAAGAAUUAGCAGCUGAGGGCCAGACCCAUGCCAGAGCCAGCGCAAUAGAGAACCCCUGGCUCUCACUGUGGCAGCCCUCCAAGGUGCCCUCUCCUCCACCCGUCCGCCUGCCUGGGAGAUGCUGAGAGUGAGUGAACCUGCCCCUGGGAAAGAGCCAGGACUCCUAUGGGGGCUGCACGUGGGUGCCCCGCCUUGGCCACUGCUCCUGGCCACUUGAACUCUCUGGGUUUUUCAGCCUCAGCACCACUGACAUUUGGGACGGAUCAUUCUCCCUGCUGUGGCCACCCCAUGCACUGCAGGCAGCUGAGCAGCAUCCUCGGCCUCCACCCGUGAGAGACCUGCACCACCCACCUCCGACGCCACCACCCAAAGCCUCUGCAGACACUUCCCGGUGUCCCCGGAUGGCAAAACUGGCCUGUGGAGGACCAGCGACCUGCCCCAGUGUUUACUGUGUGUGCAAAUACUCUCUGAGCCCCUGUAUGUGCCCGAGCUUGCCUGAGGUCUAGUGUGGCUGUGGCCAGUGGUGACACUAGAAAAAAACAGCAAACACGGGGCCUCGGCAUGCACCAAACUGGGCCAGAACCCACCGCAGCCAUGAGCUCUGGAACCCGCACUGCAAACAUGAGACCUCACCGUGCACCAACCUGGGCUGGAACCCACUGCAGCCGUGAACUCUGGAACCCACACAGCAAACAUGAGGCCUCACCAUGCACCAACCUGGGCUGGAACCCACUGCAGACGUGAACUCUGGAACCCACACAGCAAACAUUGGAGGGAAACACUGUCACUUCUACUUUACAGGCAUAAACACUGAAGUGCAGAGCAUUUGGGUGCAUCAGAAUUUUAACUCUUCAGCCCUGCAGGCCUCGCUUUCAGACAUUCUGCUUCAGUAGGGCUGGAAGGGGUCCUGGGGAGCCCCACUGCAGGGAACCAGAAACCAACUGGAAGAGCCGGUGUCCAGCAGGCCCCAGAGCUCCUCAGAGCCUCAGAUGGGGUUGGAGGGCCUUCCCCUGCUCCAUCCUUCCCCCAAAUACUGGUUGUUCCUUUCAUUCAAUAGAUGCUCAAAUCUUACACAAUUUAAACAGACAUUCCUAAGAGCACUGUAUUUGCAUGUAAUUUGACUGUUUUCUUGUAGUAGUUGUAAAAGGGGAAGGAAAAUCUAUUCCAGUUAAUUGUAGGUUCUGUGGAACUGGAGUUAGAUCACAUCACUAUUGAAACCAGCUUAUUAUUGAUCGGAAAUGUGACAGGCCUGGGUCCACGGGCACACGUGUUGCCAGAAGCCUUUGUCACUCCAUGGCUGACAUCUCUGCAUUGUUUUUCAGCUGGUAAUUCCUUAAAAGACUGAGACAAUAGUCAUUUAAUAUCGUUUGCUCAAAUGAACAGUUCCCCGAGCAAAUAACAAUAAUAAAAAAAAGUCCCUGAGAAGCCAAUUAGACUCUGCAGCUUGUACCAAGCAAUGGCCUUUCUAAUAGACGCCCUUUUUACAAGUGCAG